CCAACACCCGAAGCCUCUUGUCACUGUGGGAGACCUUGAAGCUUAAAUGAAUCAUCUCCUUAAUCUGCCGUUCAAGCAGCUGAGUUCGGCCGGGGACUUCUGAAGGUAUCAGAUUUCCCAGCAAGGAGCCAACAUCCUCUAUAAAUUUGGGGUCACAUUCUAAACAGCCUUUGACUCCAUGGAAGGCUGAGAGGGGCAGGAGCAGGAAUAACCACAGGUCACCCAUUUCUUUCUUCACCCCCGCUCCCCGACAGCAGGUUGUCCUGGCAACUAGUUCACUUAGUUCCUUUUCCUUCAAAAAUCCGGGAAUGAGAGCCUGGUUCUGGAUAGUCUGACUCCACUUUUCCCGCUGUUUCCAUCCCACUAUCGGGCAAUCUUUAGUUGUUUAGUUUAAUGAUCUUUAGUUGUUUACUGACUAUUAUCCUUCAUUCUAGGAGAGGGAACUGCCAGCUGGGGAGCGGAUACCUGAGUUCUGAGUGUAGAACACCAAGAGAUAGAGAAGCCUUGAGCUCACACAAGCAGAGUUCUGUGCAGGGAGAUGUCUCAGAAAAAGUGUUUCUUUAGCCCUCUCCCUGACUUGCAUCCUCAUGAGACUCUUAAACCCCCUCCUGACCUUCAGAGAUGUUUAUCAUCAGAGAUGGGUUAUGGAAGUGAUCCUAUAGAACCUGAGAGAUUGCUUAACUCAAACUCUGCUUCUACAUUAGAGGACUACGUGUCUUUCCCCAGGACUAUAUGCCGUUCCCUUUCCAGGACUAUGUGUCUUUCCGCAGGACUAUAUGCCAUUCCCCAAGUGCCAUUCGGAAAUUAUUCAUAAAAUUUAUGUAGAAACGAAAGGUUCAAAAAUAGCAAAGACACUUGAAGAACCAGGUAGGAAGGACUUGUUCUACCAGCUAUUGAUUUAUUAUAUUAUUACUCCAAUUAAGACACCGAGAUUGUCAUCAAUAUUGAAAAAUAGAUCAGAAGCAACAAAUUAAAAAUCCAGAAACCAGUCAUUUUUCCAUACUAAUUUGGUCUCAAUGAGAACAACAUAAUUCUCAUUCAUCUCCCUGUAGAAGUUAUAUAUUUCCAAAGUGGUUCAAAUGUACUGAAAGCCAACUCACCACUAGGAAUUGAAUCAAAAUUGACCCACAGACGUACAACAUUAAGUUUGCUGCGAAGAUUUAAAUCAGUGGGACAUAAAAUAAAAA
rnacentral:lncRNA from 1 species